rnacentral:lncRNA from 1 species
GCCUGGCCCGCGACGCACCGAGGCCUGAGGACCCGAAAGCCGGGCGCGGGGAGAUGACCGGUGGCUCGUGACGGUCCCACGGGCAAAAUCUUCCAUCGCCCGGGGCUGAGACUUGUCAAACUGCCCUCUACGGUCACCCGGAAAGUAGGAGGCUUUUUCUGCAGAGGGGAAAAAAAUCAAAAAGAGCCGUUCCAUCCCCCCUCCAAGGACUGGGUUUGAAUUGCUUUUCAUCUGCAGUGGCUGUGAUUCAGCGUCCCUCUUAGCAGCAGGCAAUGACAGAGGCAGGAGAGGGGAAAAAAAAAAAGAAAGAAAGAAAAAACACAGCAAAUGAAUCAAACGGACGUAGCAGGCAAGAGUGUGGUUAUCGUUGGACCAGGAUUCAGGAUCUGACUGAGUAGCUGACUCUUAAUCCAGUUUGUGUUGAUCACCAGGAGGAUCUGGACCUCAGUAUUACCACAUCUAGAGCUAUAAUCACAUCCCUGUUAAGCCUUCCUGAGAUCACACCAAAUGUCCUUGAUGGGAAUUGUAAACAACCCUUACUUCUGGUUUCUAAUGAUAUUCCAGGAAAGGAGCCUAACUAGAGUCAGUGAUAUGCCAACUCCACCUUUGCCUUCCACCAUGUUUGGAAGCUCCCUGAGGCCUCACCAGGAGCAGAUGCUCGUCCCAUGCUUCCUAUAAGCCUGCAGAACUGUGAGCCAUAAUAAACUGUGAAUUAUAAAUUGCCUUUAUAGCAAUGCAAAUGGACCAGUACAGAUGGGAUGCUGGGAAGACAGUUGUUUCCACCUUCAGUAAAGUCCGUGGAACACAGUUGUGACUAUAUUCUAGGCCAGCCAAGAUGCUUGUACUCAGAAAGGAGUGGUCUCAGGACCAUAAGAAAGUGAAAAAAUAAAAAUAAGAAAAUAAAGAAGGGAUUGUCAAUGAAUCAGAAUUCAUCAAGGUCAAAGUCUUAGGAAAUUCCUUCAUGAGGAAGUCUAGGGGGGCUAUGGAAAUGAAAUUUUUAAACAAAUAGGUAUGUGGUGCUGGCAGGAAUAAAUUAUGGACUUAUGAAUAUAACAUAAGAUUCUUUAUUACCUGGUCUCACCCGUCUUUCCACCUCUGCCCCCCUUCUUGCCCGACUCUGUGUAUCACCCAUAAUAAACUACUUACAGCUUCCUAGUGUUAAAUUUACCCUAAAGCUGCCUCCUUCAAUAUUUUAAGUUUAACCUAAAGGUUCUUCAUACAUAGUGAACUAUAACCCAAUGAUUAAACAGAUUGUAACCUACUCUUGUACCAGUCACCAAGUUUCAGCCAAUCAGAGGUGGCCAACUGUUCAAACCAUGCUCAAAUAAGGGAAAUGUCAUGGUGUAACUAAUCCAGCUGUU